AAGUCAUUUGCGCUCGUCUCAAGCUUUUGUUCAUCUGUUUCCAACCGAACGCCGGAGAACAGGAGCCAUUGCGACUCAACACAGCGCGGUGUUCAGCAGCAGUCACUCUUGUGUUCGUGCCUCGUAUUACCUCUUGCGGGAAGUGGAUACUGAAAUAGUUUCGCCGUCGGACGAUUGGUGUUCAAAUCUUCUUUAACUUACAAACUCAACAUGGAGAAUGAGAACAAAUACCUCCCGCAGCUGCUGGCGGAACGCGACAGCCUGGACGCGUCGUUCACGCACGCCAUGAAACUUCUCUCAGCAGAAAUCGAGAAGGUUGAGAAGGGAGAGACUGAUAAGGAUACAGAAAGCUACCUGGACCUCUUUACCCAGAAAAACAUCAAACUGAAGGAAAGGGUUCUCAUUCCAGUCAAACAGUACCCUAAGUUUAACUUUGUUGGGAAGAUCCUUGGACCGCAGGGGAACACCAUCAAGAGACUGCAGGAGGAGACUGGCGCUAAGAUCUCCGUGCUGGGGAAAGGAUCCAUGAGGGACAAAACCAAGGAGGAAGGCUUGAGGAAAAGUGGAGAGCCAAAGUAUGCACACUUGUCCAUGGAGCUUCAUGUGUUUAUCGAGGUGUUUGCUCCCGUUCCUGAGGCGUAUGUGCGCAUGGCUCAUGCCAUGGAGGAGAUCAAAAAGUUCUUGUUCCCUGACAUGAUGGAUGAAAUUUGCCAGGAGCAGUUCAUGGAGAUGAAGUUCCUAAACGGUGGUCAGGAACAUGCAGGCAGAGGCCGAGGAGGGCCACCCAUCAGAGGCCGUGGAGGUCUUCCUCCUCCUGGAGUACCCAGGGGUCGUGGUAUGCCCCCACGUGGUGGUCGUGGUGGACCUCCUCGAGGUGGUGCCACAAGGGGAGCUCCUGCAGGCAGAGGUGGACCAGCUGCCCAGCCGCCCAGAGGAGCAGCCUCCAACCGCGCACGUCCACCAGCCCCUGCAUCUCAGCGGAUGCCUCCUCCACCACCCCCGCACGCUCCGACCCAAGAAUCAUAUGAAGAAUAUUCUUACGAUGAGAGCUACACAGAGCCAGGCUAUGAAUCCUAUGACAGCUACUACAGUCAACCACAAGCGGAACCAGAGUACUAUGACUAUGGACAUGGAGAGACACAGGAGGGCUAUGAAAACUACGCGCAAGAUGACUGGAACGGGACACAGCGCCCUGCUGGCGGUGGAAAAGCUCCCGCUCAGAGACAGACUAAGCCUGGGUUAAGGGAACACCCCUAUGGACGAUACUAAGUCUGAUUAGUGGAACGUCACCCAACGCGUCGCCAUGACAACUGUCUCCCAUGGCAGCUCACGCUUUAAGCUACCCGACAAAAGUUGUGAUGCCUAGCAAUUCCUGGAAAUGGAACGUUUAAUCGAGAUUGUCAGACCUCUCCACAGGAAAAGACAAGUGUGUGUUCGCAGCGUAAGAGCAAUCUUACCUUUGAACACCAGCUGCCUUUAAGGAACCGUCGACAGUCUGACUGAACAGCUUCUGAACUGUGUGGAAUGGCGGAAAUCGAUGGUCCUGUCGGUUAAAGUUUGAACCAGCAACCUCUUAAUGGGUUAAAGCGGAAAGUUCUUGGUGCUGUGUAUAUUGGCUCUCUAGUCGUAAUGCAAGGUCAUUUUCUCUGUACUGAAAGUUUCCCUUUACAGUUCACCUCAUCAAGUGCUUUCUAAGCACACUUUACUUUAAAUGUUCAUCCUUAAAUUGACUACUUCUGCUCAUGUUGGCCAAGAAAUCAUUUUAACAAGCUCGAAAAAUUCUGUCCAGGCUCUCCAGACGUCUACCUCAGACAAUACUCCAGUGCUUUAUUCUGCAAGACAAGCAUGUCUUCCCCAGUUCCUCGCUCGGAGGAACGUACAUGCUAAUUUGGAGCUGUCCGGCCCCUAUCUCUUAGCACAGACUUUGUCCUUUAAUUGCCAUGGUAAUUUCCAUCGUGCUCUUGAGUAGAUAUGUUUGAAUGGGCUUAUGCUGCCGGAGCGCUCUCGCAGUUUGUAUGAAUCACAAAUGCGUCUGUUGAACCAAGCGCAAAAAGCUCCGGGGGUUCGCAGCAUAGCAUAACGGUUGAUCUAAAUCAUACUAACAUUUUUACCAUCCGGAUAAAGGUCUUUCUUGCCCUAAUUGAGAGCUUUCCAUAAUUCUGCUUUGUUUUCUAAUCCUUGCCGUGUUUGGCACAGUGCAUGUGUAGGUGUAGCUGUCAGUAUCUUCCAUCUCUUGCUCAUUUCCCCCCGCCCUCCAGCACGCAUAGGACUUGAGCCCGUCAUUCUGACCAAUUACCGCCGCUGACAGUGUGUUCGUCCCCCCGCGGAGCCACCACUGGUUGCCGACUCUCUAACAGGACUAAUGCCUUAUUGCAUUAGAGACAAAUCAGUCUUCGGCACAGAUUUUUAAUAAGCAUCAGCCACCACUCAAGUGCCAUCGAACAAUUGGAAAUGGGUGUGCGUGGGUAGGAGGUUGACCGAUGCGUGUGCAGGCGUCAAUGUAAUGAGAAAUUGCAAAAGCAGAUAAUGGAAAUAUUUAAUUCAUUUCCCAGACAGAUGCUUAGGGGGGUAAAGAAAACCAGUCUCAAGGAGGAAGAACUGUUCAAACCCACUGUGUACACUUAAUGGGUCUUUGUUUACACGGUCAUAUCUGUUUGCGUCGGACAUGCGUGGCCUACAGCUGCUGGGGAAAUGCCUCUGGGGUAAUGUGCAAGGGAUGCGUGGCGGUCUGAAACCGGGGGAUUGUGGCUUGGCAGCUCUUUCCUCCUUUAACGCUCAUUGUGCAUGCUGAAAACAGGAAGCAUGGCUUUGCGAAUGCAAAUGAAACACUCGCACCACUGACUGUCUGUCUUCCUGCAUGGCUAUUUUGCUAGUUUCACACCUAACCAGUACACACACUCCAGGGAGUCAGGGUUUUGAGUGCACAGGGAGGAGUUGUAACGGUUUCUGGCUCACAUCCUGGAGAACAGUGGCCGCUGGCCACCUCCUUCAGUGUGAAAUGCUGGUAAUAACUAAGCCUCCUAAAGGUCUUUCUCAGUGUGCUGUGAUGAAAAUGAAUUGAAUCCAUCCAUGUGGAAUCUGGCUUGAGUAAUCCGUAGCCCUCCAGGACUAAGAGUUGGACACCUUCACCUUGGCCGUGGUUGAAGUAACAUUCCAUUGCAUGUUUUCCAACAUCCACAUAAGCAGACACAAUAUCGGAAAACCAUGGGAAUUGCUUGGGAUUAGUGAUGAAAUUCAAGCGCCAGGAGUCUGUAUUAUUUUGUUUUCCUAAGGAGAUUGAUUUGAGCUUAUUGAAGUGCCUGUCUUUCAGCAUAGCUGUUGGCCUUAUCUUGGUAGAAGCAAACUAAAGCCUUUGGGGUCAGAGAAACCGUUCUGUGACUUAGGAGAGCGGACAGAAUUUUUCUUUACAUUUGAAAGUCAUUCAAACUUGUUUGGAAGUCUGUGCAUCCAAGAGCACUCGCACAAAGCCUGCAUAUUACGUAUGACUACAAAGAGAAUACGUAACUUCACAGAUGUUUUAACUUUUGUAACGUCAAAAAUAAAAAUAAAAAAAUUCAAGAAGUG